rfam:Colletotrichum orbiculare MAFF 240422 contig08669, whole genome shotgun sequence.
UGUCCCUGAUGAUGAAACAUUUCAUUCAGUUCUGCUACUGAGAUCUGUGAUGAUACCCCAUAUACCAAAACAUUUGUCUGAUGG